GAAAUGCGAUACGUAGUGUGAAUUGCAGAAUUCAGUGAAUCAUCGAAUCUUUGAACGCACAUUGCGCCCUUUGGUAUUCCAAAGGGCAUGCCUGUUCGAGCGUCAUUUGUACCCUCAAGCUUUGCUUGGUGUUUGGCGUUUUUUGUCUUUGGCUCGCCCAAAGACUCGCCUUAAAACGAUUGGCAGCCGGCCUACUGGUUUCGCAGCGCAGCACAUUUUUGCGCUUGCAAUCAGCAAAAGAGGACGGCAAUCCAUCAAGACUCCUUCUCACGUUUGACCUCGGAUCAGGUAGGGAUACCCGCUGAACUUAAGC
rnacentral:misc_RNA from 1 species